AGACCCGAAACCCGGUGAUCUAGCCAUGGGCAGGUUGAAGGUUGGGUAACACUAACUGGAGGACCGAACCGACUAAUGUUGAAAAAUUAGCGGAUGACCUGUGGCUGGGGGUGAAAGGCCAAUCAAACCGGGAGAUAGCUGGUUCUCCCCGAAAGCUAUUUAGGUAGCGCCUCGUGAAUUCAUCUCCGGGGGUAGAGCACUGUUUCGGCUAGGGGGCCAUCCCGGCUUACCAACCCGAUGCAAACUGCGAAUACCGGAGAAUGUUAUCACGGGAGACACACGGCGGGUGCUAACGUCCGUCGUGAAGAGGGAAACAACCCAGACCGCCAGCUAAGGUCCCAAAGUCAUGGUUAAGUGGGAAACGAUGUGGGAAGGCCCAGACAGCCAGGAUGUUGGCUUAGAAGCAGCCAUCAUUUAAAGAAAGCGUAAUAGCUCACUGGUCGAGUCGGCCUGCGCGGAAGAUGUAACGGGGCUAAACCAUGCACCGAAGCUGCGGCAGCGACGCUGAUGCGUUGUUGGGUAGGGGAGCGUUCUGUAAGCCUGCGAAGGUGACCUGUGAGGGUUGCUGGAGGUAUCAGAAGUGCGAAUGCUGACAUAAGUAACGAUAAAGCGGGUGAAAAGCCCGCUCGCCGGAAGACCAAGGGUUCCUGUCCAACG
rnacentral:rRNA from 1 species